rnacentral:rRNA from 1 species
AAGGGCACCACAAGAACGCGUGGAGCAUGUGGCUUAAUUUGACUCAACGCGGGAAAUCUUACCGGGUCCGGACACACUGAGGAUUGACAGGCAAUAUUAGCACAUGCACGCUUCGGCGCUGCUUUGUGUUAUGUUAAAUAUGCUAGUCCUUUCAUGAUUAUGUGAUAGGUGGUGCAUGGCCGUUCUUAGUUCGUGGAGUGAUCUGUCUGCUUAAUUGCGUUUCACCAAGGGCCUAUAAUUUUACGUGUGUUGCGGCACUUUGACCCCUCUUUUUUAAGAGCGCGUGUCUUGGUUUGCUUAGCUCGCACAAUUAGGUCCUGAAAGCAACGAACGUGACCGCAACCUCUUGUUGCCUUUAUACCAAACGUGCAUAUUGCAAUUUUUAUUGCUUUGCGCGCAAAAAGGCUUUUUAAACUAGAGGGACCGCUGUUACUUUCUUAAACCAGAGGAAGGUUGCGGCAAUAACAGGUCUGUGAUGCCCUUAGAUGUUCCGGGCUGCACACGUGCUACAAUGAUUAUUGCAGUGAGCAUCUCAUUUUUUACACACCGCAUACGCGAGGCCAUUUAUUCGCCUUCGGGUGCUUUAAAUGUGUUUUCUCUGCGAGCGGUAAAGCCUGCUUCGAAAGUAAGUGGGUAAUCAAUUAGAAGUAAUGAUUUCCUUUUUUUAGCACACAUAUAUACGGCGUCUAUGCCCGGGUUACCUUGUUGUAGCUUUUGUGCGUAUAGAUGUUUUUUCCGUAUGUGCGAUUGUCAAUUCAUGGUGGGGACAGACCAUUGUUAAUUGUUGGUCUCAGUCUUAACUAGGAAUGCCUUGUACGGGUCUUUGGUUCAACAAACCACCCGGAAUACGUCCCUGCCCUUUGUACACACCGCCCGUCGCUCUUACCGAUGGACUUCUCUGUGAGUUUGAGGGACUGGGGACGCGAAUUUUAUUCGCACCUGCCUAUGGAAACUUAAACGAACAGUGUGGUCUAAAGGAAAGAGAAGUCGUAACAAGGCAUCGGUAGGUGAACCUGCAGAAGGAUCA